rnacentral:rRNA from 1 species
AGAGUUUGAUCAUGGCUCAGGAUGAACGCCGGCGGUGUGCCUAAUACAUGCAAGUCGAACGCGUUGGCCCAACUGAUUGAACGUGCUUGUACGGACUUGACGUUGGUUUACCAGCGAGUGGCGGACGGGUGAGUAACACGUAGGUAACCUGCCCCAAAGCGGGGGAUAACAUUUGGAAACAGAUGCUAAUACCGCAUAACAAUUUGAAUCGCAUGAUUCAAAUUUAAAAGAUGGCUUCGGCUAUCACUUUGGGAUGGACCUGCGGCGCAUUAGCUUGUUGGUAGGGUAACGGCCUACCAAGGCUGUGAUGCGUAGCCGAGUUGAGAGACUGAUCGGCCACAAUGGAACUGAGACACGGUCCAUACUCCUACGGGAGGCAGCAGUAGGGAAUCUUCCACAAUGGGCGCAAGCCUGAUGGAGCAACACCGCGUGAGUGGAGAAGGGCUUCGGCUCGUAAAGCUCUGUUGUUAGAGAAGAACGUGCGUGAGAGCAACUGUUCACGCAGUGACGGUAUCUAACCAGAAAGUCACGGCUAACUACGUGCCAGCAGCCGCGGUAAUACGUAGGUGGCAAGCGUUAUCCGGAUUUAUUGGGCGUAAAGCGAGCGCAGGCGGUUUGAUAAGUCUGAUGUGAAAGCCUUUGGCUUAACCAAAGAAGUGCAUCGGAAACUGUCAGACUUGAGUGCAGAAGAGGACAGUGGAACUCCAUGUGUAGCGGUGGAAUGCGUAGAUAUAUGGAAGAACACCAGUGGCGAAGGCGGCUGUCUGGUCUGCAACUGACGCUGAGGCUCGAAAGCAUGGGUAGCGAACAGGAUUAGAUACCCUGGUAGUCCAUGCCGUAAACGAUGAGUGCUAGGUGUUGGAGGGUUUCCGCCCUUCAGUGCCGUAGCU